UACGUAGGGUGCAAGCGUUAAUCGGAAUUACUGGGCGUAAAGCGUGCGCAGGCGGUCGUGCAAGACAGAUGUGGAAUCCCCGGGCUCAACCUGGGAACUGCAUUUGUGACUGCACGGCUGGAGUGCGGCAGAGGGGGAUGGAAUUCCGCGUGUAGCAGUGAAAUGCGUAGAUAUGCGGAGGAACACCGAUGGCGAAGGCAAUCCCCUGGGCCUGCACUGACGCUCAUGCACGAAAGCGUGGGGAGCAAACAGG
rnacentral:rRNA from 1 species